GACGAACGCUGGCGGCGUGCUUAACACAUGCAAGUCGAACGGAAAGGCCUCUUUCGGGGGGUACUCGAGUGGCGAACGGGUGAGUAACACGUGAGUAACCUGCCCUUGACUUUGGGAUAACUUCAGGAAACUGGGGCUAAUACCGGAUAGGAGCUCCUGCUGCAUGGUGGGGGUUGGAAAGUUUCGGCGGUUGGGGAUGGACUCGCGGCUUAUCAGCUUGUUGGUGGGGUAGUGGCUUACCAAGGCUUUGACGGGUAGCCGGCCUGAGAGGGUGACCGGCCACAGUGGGACUGAGAUACGGCCCAGACGCCUACGGGAGGCAGCAGUGGGGAAUAUUGCACAAUGGGUGGAAGCCUGAUGCAGCAACGCCGGGUGCGGGAUGACGGCCUUCGGGUUGUAAACCGCUUUCGCUCAUGACGAAGCUUUGUGUGACGGUAGUGGGUAAAGAAGCACCGGCUAACUACGUG
rnacentral:rRNA from 1 species